rnacentral:rRNA from 1 species
UACUUAGGUAACCUGCCUUUAAGAUUGGGACAACCUUCCGAAAGGAGGGCUAAUACCGAAUAAGACCACGGUCACUCCGGUGACUGGGGUAAAAGAUGGCCUCUACUUGUAAGCUAUCACUUAGAGAUGGGCCUAAGCGCCAUUAGCUUGUUGGUGGGGUAACGGCCUACCAAAGCUAUGAUGGCUAGCUGAUCUGAGAGGUUGAUCAGCCACACUGGAACUGAGACACGGUCCAG